GUGUGCAUUGUGUGUGCAAGGCAUGUCCACAAGAGUGUGCAUUGCACCUACACGUGAGCAACCAUGUGCGCACCCCUGCCUUGCACCCAUGCCCCACCACCCCCCCCGUGUUGCACGACGCCGUGCUCACACCUGUUGCACACCCACCACCAACGUGACCCCCACACUCACACUCACCACACCUCUCCUGCUGCUCUGCACGGGGAUGGGGAUGGUCCCAGUAAUGGUGACAAUCCCACUAAUGGUGAUGGUGAUAAUGGUGACAGUCCCAGUAAUGGUGACAGUGGUAACGGUGAGAGCCUCACUAAUGGUGACACAAUAAUGGUGACAAUCCCAGAAACGGUGAUGGUGGUAACGGUGACAGUCCCAGUAAUGGUGACACAAUAA
rnacentral:lncRNA from 1 species